rnacentral:rRNA from 1 species
GACGAACGCUGGCGGCGUGCCUAAUACAUGCAGGUAGAACGCUGAAGAGAGGAGCUUGCUCUUCUUGGAUGAGUUGCGAACGGGUGAGUAACGCGUAGGUAACCUGCCUUGUAGCGGGGGAUAACUAUUGGAAACGAUAGCUAAUACCGCAUAACAAUGGAUGACCCAUGUCAUUUAUUUGAAAGGGGCAAAUGCUCCACUACAAGAUGGACCUGCGUUGUAUUAGCUAGUAGGUGAGGUAACGGCUCACCUAGGCGACGAUACAUAGCCGACCUGAGAGGGUGAUCGGCCACACUGGGACUGAGACACGGCCCAGACUCCUACGGGAGGCAGCAGUAGGGAAUCUUCGGCAAUGGGGGCAACCCUGACCGAGCAACGCCGCGUGAGUGAAGAAGGUUUUCGGAUCGUAAAGCUCUGUUGUAAGUCAAGAACGAGUGUGAGAGUGGAAAGUUCACACUGUGACGGUAGCUUACCAGAAAGGGACGGCUAACUACGUG